rnacentral:rRNA from 1 species
GGUGCCCGUACCGCAAACCGACACAGGUAGGUAGGAAGAAGAUUCUAAGGCCAACGGGAGAAGGGUUGUUAAGGAACUCGGCAAAUUGACCCCGUAACUUCGGGAGAAGGGGUGCUCCAGAGAUGGAGCCGCAGAGAAUCGGCCCAAGCAACUGUUUACCAAAAACACAGGUUUGUGCUAAAUCGAAAGAUGACGUAUACGAGCUGACGCCUGCCCGGUGCUGGAAGGUUAAGAGGAGAUGUGCAAGCAUUGAAUCGAAGCCCCAGUGAACGGCGGCCGUAACUAUAACGGUCCUAAGGUAGCGAAAUUCCUUGUCAGGUAAGUUCUGACCCGCAUGAAAGGCGUAAUGAUUUGGGCACUGUCUCAACAGCCCGCCCGGCGAAAUUGUAGUACCGGUGAAGAUGCCGGUUACCCGCGACAAGACGGAAAGACCCCAUGGAGCUUUACUGUAGCCUAAUAUUGGGUUUCGAUGUUGCAUGCACAGGAUAGAUGGGACACAGGGAAACAAGUGCUUUGGCAUUUGUGGAGUGGCCGUUGGGAUACCAUCCUUGCGAUAUUGGAAUUCUAACCUGCGCCUUUGAAUCAAGGCGGGGGACAUUGUUAGGUGGGCAGUUUGACUGGGGCGGUCGCCUCCUAAAGAGUAACGGAGGCGUUCAAAGGUUCGCUCAGCUUGAACGGAAAUCAAGCAAAAGAGUGCAAACGCAGAAGCGAGCCUAACUGCGAGACUGACGGGUCGAGCAGUAACGAAAGUUGGAGUUAGUGAUCCGGUGGUAUGUGAGUGGAAAUGCCAUCGCUCAACGGAUAAAAGUUACCCUGGGGAUAACAGGCUGAUCUCCCCCAAGAGUCCACAUCGACGGGGAGGUUUGGCACCUCGAUGUCGGCUCAUCGCAUCCUGGGGCUGUAUUCGGUCCCAAGGGUUUGGCUGUUCGCCAAUUAAAGCGGUACGCGAGCUGGGUUCAGAACGUCGUGAGACAGUUCGGUCCCUAU